CUUAUAUCCACGCGACAGAGGAGGAGAUAAGAACAUGAUUUUUGUAUCAGCAAGCUUCGAAUUUUUAGCCUUUUCCACACUGUGCAGUUCAUAUCACUCAUCAAUUGGAUAAAUGUUUUAUCAAUAUCACAUGCUUAUGAAAUGAAAUUAUAGCAACAAAUCAAUAAAGAAGCUUCUACAUCGUGACAUUACUUGCCAGAAAAAGCAGUCUAAUCUCCUUCAAAUCACAAUCUAUUGUCUUAAAAAAAAAGAAGAUUUUAUAUUAUUAUUUAUUAAUGAUUUCUUACAAGGACAGAAAGAAAAAUCUCUAAGUUUGCAGGCUACAAUCAGUACAGUGAAUCUCAGGGUGCUAGAGUUGCAGUAACAGUUGAAUGCCAGACAAAAAUGUUUAAGGCAGCAAGCUGGCAGAAAUGUUAGCAUGCCGGGCGAAAUG
rnacentral:lncRNA from 1 species